rnacentral:rRNA from 1 species
AGUUUAAAGAAAUUAUUUUAAAUGAAUCCUGCCCAGUGUUAAUUUAUAAAUGGCCGCAGUACCCUGACUGUGCGAAGGUAGCAUAAUCAAUUGGCUUUUAAUUGAAGUCUGGAAUGAAUGGAGAUUUGGAAAAAAGCUGUCUCAAAACAUAUUUAGUUGAAUCUAAUUAUUAGGUGUAAAUACCUAUUUUAAGAAAAAAGACGAGAAGACCCUUAGAAUUUUUAAAAUAUUAUUUAAUUAAUUUAUUUUUGUUGGGGCGACAAUUAAACAUUUUUUAAAACUUUAAUUUUUUAUACAUAACGAAAUUGUUAUAAAAGAAUAAAUUACCUUAGGGAUAACAGCAUAAUUUUUUAAUAAGUUUGUGACCUCGAUGUUGGACUAGGAACUUUAUGGCAAGCAGUCAAAAUAGAUUUGUUCUGUUCGAACAAUAUUAUCCU